rnacentral:rRNA from 1 species
ACUCAAAGGAAUAGACGGGGGCCCGCACAAGCAGUGGAGCAUGUGGUUUAAUUCGACGCAACGCGCAGAACCUUACCAGGGCUUGACAUCGUCUGACAGCUGUGGAGACACAGUAUUCCCGCUUAGGUGGGACAGAUAGACAGGUGCUGCAUGGUUGUCGUCAGCUCGUGUCGUGAGAUGUUGGGUUAAGUCCCGCAACGAGCGCAACCCCUGUCCUGUGUUGCCAGCGUAGAGACGGGCACUCACAGGAGACUGCCGGAGAGAAUUCGGAGGAAGGUGGGGAUGACGUCAAAUCAUCAUGGCCCUUAUACCCUGGGCUACACACGUGCUACAAUGGCAGGCACAGAGGGGAGCGAAGGAGCGAUCCGGAGCGAAUCUCAAAAAGCCUGUCUCAGUUCGGAUUGGGGGCUGCAACUCGCCCCCAUGAAGCCGGAAUUGCUAGUAAUCGCGGAUCAGCCACGCCGCGGUGAAUACGUUCCCGGGCCUUGUACACACCGCCCGU